CGGGGUGUAGCGCAGCUCGGUUAGCGCGUCUGCUUUGGGAGCAGAAGGUCGCAGGUUCGAAUCCUGCCACCCCGA
rnacentral:tRNA from 1 species